GGUUAAGCGACUAAGCGUACACGGUGGAUGCCCCGGCAGUCAGAGGCGAUGAAGGACGUGCUAAUCUGCGAUAAGCGUCGGUAAGGUGAUAUGAACCGUUAUAACCGGCGAUUUCCGAAUGGGGAAACCCAGUGUGUUUCGACACACUAUCAUUAACUGAAUCCAUAGGUUAAUGAGGCGAACCGGGGAACUGAAACAUCUAAGUACCCCGAGGAAAAGAAAUCAACCGAGAUUCCCCAGUAGCGGCGAGCGAACGGGGAGCAGCCCAGAGCCUGAAUCAGUGUGUGUGUUAGUGGAAGCGUCUGGAAAGGCGUGCGAUACAGGGUGACAGCCCCGUACACAAAAAUGCACAUGCUGUGAGCUCGAUGAGUAGGGCGGGACACGUGGUAUCCUGUCUGAAUAUGGGGGACCAUCCUCCAAGGCUAAAUACUCCUGACUGACCGAUAGUGAACCAGUACCGUGAGGGAAAGGCGAAAAGAACCCCGGCGAGGGGAGUGAAAAAGAACCUGAAACCGUGUACGUACAAGCAGUGGGAGCACGCUUAGGCGUGUGACUGCGUACCUUUUGUAUAAUGGGUCAGCGACUUAUAUUCUGUAGCAAGGUUAACCGAAUAGGGAGCCGAAGGGAAACCGAGUCUUAACUGGGCGUUAAGUUGCAGGGUAUAGACCCGAAACCCGGUGAUUCUAGCCAUGGGCAGGUUGAAGGUUGGGUAACACUAACUGGAGGACCGAACCGACUAAUGUUGAAAAAUUAGCGGAUGACUUGUGGCUGGGGGUGAAAGGCCAAUCAAACCGGGAGAUAGCUGGUUCUCCCCGAAAGCUAUUUAGGUAGCGCCUCGUGAAUUCAUCUCCGGGGUAGAGCACUGUUUCGGCAAGGGGGUCAUCCCGACUUACCAACCCGAUGCAAACUGCGAAUACCGGAGAAUGUUAUCACGGGAGACACACGGCGGGUGCUAACGUCCGUCGUGAAGAGGGAAACAACCCAGACCGCCAGCUAAGGUCCCAAAGUCAUGGUUAAGUGGGAAACGAUGUGGGAAGGCCCAGACAGCCGGGAUGUUGGCUUAGAAGCAGCCAUCAUUUAAAGAAAGCGUAAUAGCUCACUGGUCGAGUCGGCCUGCGCGGAAGAUGUAACGGGGCUAAACCAUGCACCGAAGCUGCGGCAGCGACGCUUAUGCGUUGUUGGGUAGGGGAGCGUUCUGUAAGCCUGCGAAGGUGUGCUGUGAGGCAUGCUGGAGGUAUCAGAAGUGCGAAUGCUGACAUAAGUAACGAUAAAGCGGGUGAAAAGCCCGCUCGCCGGAAGACCAAGGGUUCCUGUCCAACGUUAAUCGGGGCAGGGUGAGUCGACCCCUAAGGCGAGGCCGAAAGGCGUAGUCGAUGGGAAACAGGUUAAUAUUCCUGUACUUGGUGUUACUGCGAAGGGGGACGGAGAAGGCUAUGUUGGCCGGGCGACGGUUGUCCCGGUUUAAGCGUGUAGGCUGGUUUUCCGAGCAAAUCCGGAAAAUCAAGGCUGAGGCGUGAUGACGAGGCACUACGGUGCUGAAGCAACAAAUGCCCUGCUUCCGGGAAAAGCCUCUAAGCAUCAGGUAACAUCAAAUCGUACCCCAAACCGACACAGGUGGUCAGGUAGAGAAUACCAAGGCGCUUGAGAGAACUCGGGUGAAGGAACUAGGCAAAAUGGUGCCGUAACUUCGGGAGAAGGCACGCUGAUAUGUAGGUGAGGUCCCUCGCGGAUGGAGCUGAAAUCAGUCGAAGAUACCAGCUGGCUGCAACUGUUUAUUAAAAACACAGCACUGUGCAAACACGAAAGUGGACGUAUACGGUGUGACGCCUGCCCGGUGCCGGAAGGUUAAUUGAUGGGGUUAGCGCAAGGCGAAGCUCUUGAUCGAAGCCCCGGUAAACGGCGGCCGUAACUAUAACGGUCCUAAGGUAGCGAAAUUCCUUGUCGGGUAAGUUCCGACCUGCACGAAUGGCGUAAUGAUGGCCGGGCUGUCUCCACCCGAGACUCAGUGAAAUUGAACUCGCUGUGAAGAUGCAGUGUACCCGCGGCAAGACGGAAAGACCCCGUGAACCUUUACUAUAGCUUGACACUGAACAUUGAGCCUUGAUGUGUAGGAUAGGUGGGAGGCUUUGAAGUGUGGACGCCAGUCUGCAUGGAGCCGACCUUGAAAUACCACCCUUUAAUGUUUGAUGUUCUAACGUUGACCCGUAAUCCGGGUUGCGGACAGUGUCUGGUGGGUAGUUUGACUGGGGCGGUCUCCUCCUAAAGAGUAACGGAGGAGCACGAAGGUUGGCUAAUCUCGGUCGGACAUCAGGAGGUUAGUGCAAUGGCAUAAGCCAGCUUGACUGCGAGCGUGACGGCGCGAGCAGGUGCGAAAGCAGGUCAUAGUGAUCCGGUGGUUCUGAAUGGAAGGGCCAUCGCUCAACGGAUAAAAGGUACUCCGGGGAUAACAGGCUGAUACCGCCCAAGAGUUCAUAUCGACGGCGGUGUUUGGCACCUCGAUGUCGGCUCAUCACAUCCUCGGGGCUGAAGUAGGUCCCAAGGGUAUGGCUGUUCGCCAUUUAAAGUGGUACGCGAGCUGGGUUUAGAACGUCGUGAGACAGUUCGGUCCCUAUCUGCCGUGGGCGCUGGAGAACUGAGGGGGCUGCUCCUAGUACGAGAGGACCGGAGUGGACGCAUCACUGGUGUUCGGGUUGUCAUGCCAAUGGCACUGCCCGGUAGCUAAAUGCGGAAGAGAUAAGUGCUGAAAGCAUCUAAGCACGAAACUUGCCCCGAGAUGAGUUCUCCCUGACUCCUUGAGAGUCCUGAAGGAACGUUGAAGACGACGACGUUGAUAGGCCGGGUGUGUAAGCGCAGCGAUGCGUUGAGCUAACCGGUACUAAUGAACCGUGAGGCUUAACCUU
rnacentral:rRNA from 1 species